GAUGAACGCUAGCGGCAGGCCUAACACAUGCAAGUCGAGGGGCAGCACAGAAAUAGCUUGCUAUUUGGGUGGCGACCGGCGCACGGGUGCGUAACGCGUAUGCAACCUACCUUAUACUGGGGUAUAGCCCGGAGAAAUUCGGAUUAAUCCCCCAUGGUAUUAUUAGAUCGCAUGGUUUGAUAAUUAAAGGUUACGGUAUAAGAUGGGCAUGCGUCCUAUUAGCUAGAUGGUAAGGUAACGGCUUACCAUGGCGACGAUAGGUAGGGGGCCUGAGAGGGUGGUCCCCCACACUGGUACUGAGACACGGACCAGACUCCUACGGGAGGCAGCAGUGAGGAAUAUUGGUCAAUGGGCGCAAGCCUGAACCAGCCAUGCCGCGUGCAGGAAGAAUGCCCUAUGGGUUGUAAACUGCUUUUAUUUAGGAAUAAACCCUUGUACGUGUACAAGCCUGAAGGUACUAAAUGAAUAAGCACCGGCUAACUCCGUGCCAGCAGCCGCCGUAA
rnacentral:rRNA from 1 species